rnacentral:misc_RNA from 1 species
AACGCACGAGACCUGCGGACCUGCGGAGGGAUCAUUACAGAGUUGAAAAACUCCCAAAACCACUGUGAAUCAUACCUGUCCGCGUUGCUUCGGCGGGCAGCUCCGGGGAGGAGCUGCCGCCUCCCUUACGGGGGGCGCCCGCCGGAAGCCCCUAUAAACUACUCUGCAAUUUGGCUGGCAACUCUGAGUAUUAGCAUGCAAAUGCGACUAAAACAAAAAAAACUUUCAGCAAUGGAUCUC